rnacentral:lncRNA from 10 species
UGGGUAACGGGCUGGAAAACCUCCAAGUUGAGAGGCUGUGGCUUUUUCCCAAAUCAGAAAGCAAGCUGAGGGUGUGCCUGUUUCCAGCUUCUGGCCGGAGGCUCUGCUUCCCAGCCUAUCAGAAUGGCCACCCUGCAGGAUACAACCCUUUAGGAGAAAUAAAGCUCUCCUUUCCAAAUGCAUGAACCUUGUCAUUCUUCAGCUGACGGCACUAUUUUCCACUGUCUUCCUCUUCCCUGGGUUGCUCAAGUUCACACAGAUGUGUCCUCACCAGGACCUCACAGUCAAAGAGACUUUUCUGUCUUUCUGUGUCAGUUUGAUGGGAGACCAGAUUCCAACCACUAGACACGGCUGCGUCCCUGAAGGCCCGGCUGCUGCAGGCCUCCCUCGAUCUGGCCAGGAAUGACUCCUUUCCUCCUCUAUUGCUAUCAGGAGAGGUAGGAGGUGUUAGAGAGACCUCCCCUGCCCACCACACACACCUUCCAGCUUGAGGCUGCCUAAAGAUCCCUCAGAAACCCCUGACCUUGUCCCUUCCCUUCCCCCUCCUCCUUGUUCUCCACGCUCUGACCAAGUGGAAUUUUCCCCUUCACCACUUCAGGGUCACUUGGUAAAGAUUAGUUGGGCAGAAAAGUCAGGGUUGGAGGAAGGGUGUAUUUGGAAAGAGGGCUGGGCUGGAGAUGAGGAAACUUGGGGUCCAGAAGCUGCUCUGCCACACUCCAGCUCACUGACCCUGGUCAAGUUGCCUCACCCACUUGGGCCUCUCUUUCCUCAUUUGCCUAAUAAACGUUUGAAAUCCCUACACUACUCUUAAAGUGUCUACAACAUUUAAAAGCAAAUUGCCCCUAUUAGAAAUCUGGGGCCGCUCCUGCCUUUUCCACGACCUCCCUGCUAGAAGGUCCCAGAACUUUCCCUUUUGACUCCAGAGACACCAACUCUGCUGAUGUCACAACUCUC